AAAAAACCAGAAUGGGAAAAAAGUAACUAUCCAAAAGAAAGCAGAGAGAAAAGGUGGAUUGAGUAGUUGAAUCCAGAUAUAUCAGUAAUAGCAAGGUAUUAGACUGCUUUUCUUUCUUUUUUUUUUUCCUUUAAACUCAGUUUGCUGAGUUUAAAAAAACCUGAAGCCGACUGGGUGCAGUGGCUCAUGCCUGUAAUCCCAGCACUUGAGAAGGCUGAAUUUGCUGAGGUGGGAGAUCAUGUGAGCCUGGGAGUUCUGAGCGACAGAGUGAGACCCUGCCUCAUAAAUUAAUAGAAACAAAGAUUAAUGGGACUAGAAAAGCUCUAUCAAGCACAGGAUCAACAAAAGAAAGUGGAGGUGGCAGGAGUGAGGCCAGGCAAGGGAGACUUUCAGAAGUGUCAUUAGCUACACCACUGUACUGUGGAGCAGUGGGACCUCUCACCCACAGCCAUAAGAGUGUGAAAUGUGUAACCACGUUGGGAAAGUUGAACAUGUGCACGCUGGGACCCAUCAGUUGCGCUCUUAGUGCACUAGAAAACUUGCACAUGUACACCAGGAGACAGGGACAGAAAUGCUUGUAGAAGCAUUGUUUGUAAUAGCACGGGCACAUGUGUGCACACACACACUAAAUCAAAGCCAGAAUGUGGUAAUAAUAAGUUGUCAUUCUGAAAGUGUGAUGUUCCAUAGCUGUGAGAAGAGCUACAGUCAUGUGCAACAAAUGGAUAGAUGUUGAAAGAAGCAAGUCACGGAAGAAAUAGAGUAUGAGCCAUUUGUGUGACGUUCCAAACAGGCGGAGUGAGACAAUGUAAGGACACACGCAGGUGGUAAGGCCAGGGCAGAAGAGCAAGGUGGUGAUCGUCAACUUCAGGCUUGUAGUUAGCUCUGGAGUGGGGCCCUUUGAGAUAAUGGCAAAGUGUUUUUCUUGGCUUGAGUGAUGGGAAUUUAUUCUCUAUAUGUAUUUAUUUUUAUACAACUUGCUGUAUAUGCUGUAUUUCAACACACAGGCUUAUUUUUUUUUCUAUCUAUCUAUCUAUCUAUCUAUCUAUCUAUCUAUCUAUC
rnacentral:lncRNA from 10 species